rnacentral:lncRNA from 1 species
GCUUGUUACCAAGGAAGCAAACAUUUGAAUAUUCUACUUUGAAAAUCCUGUGUCGUACAUGAGGACUCACUUGGCUGUUUAUGUCUGUCCACUGAAGCCCUGGAUGUACCAUUCCCAUUUUUAAAAAAGCAUAAAUUCUAAGAAUUCUAAUUUGGGGUUGCAAAUAUGAUUGCAUAACAAAGGAUGCUAAAAAUUUCUUUUUUUAACCAGAAAAUUAGUUAUCACAAGAGGUCACUUAGCAAUAGAAAAUCACAUUAAGUAUGUUUAAGUUAUGAUGUAUUUAAUCCAACCAACAAAACAGGGCAAUGUUGCAACCCUAAGAACACUGAAACUGAAACAUUUAGACUUAAGAUUUGAUGCU